rnacentral:rRNA from 1 species
UACGAAGGGGGCUAGCGUUGCUCGGAAUCACUGGGCGUAAAGGGUGCGUAGGCGGGUCUUUAAGUCAGGGGUGAAAUCCUGGAGCUCAACUCCAGAACUGCCUUUGAUACUGAGGAUCUUGAGUUCGGGAGAGGUGAGUGGAACUGCGAGUGUAGAGGUGAAAUUCGUAGAUAUUCGCAAGAACACCAGUGGCGAAGGCGGCUCACUGGACUGGUACUGACGCUGAGGCGCGAAAGCGUGGGGAGCAAACAGG